CCUGGCUCAGAUUGAACGCUGGCGGCAGGCCUAACACAUGCAAGUCGAGCGCGAAAGGCCUUCGGGUUGAGUAGAGCGGCGGACGGGUGAGUAACGCGUAGGAAUCUACCUGGUAGUGGGGGACAACUUGUGGAAACGCAAGCUAAUACCGCAUACGACCUAAGGGUGAAAGUGGGGGACCUUCGGGCCUCACGCUAUCGGAUGAGCCUGCGUAGGAUUAGCUUGUUGGUGAGGUAAAGGCUCACCAAGGCGACGAUCCUUAGCUGGUCUGAGAGGAUGAUCAGCCACACUGGAACUGAGACACGGUCCAGACUCCUACGGGAGGCAGCAGUGGGGAAUAUUGCGCAAUGGGCGAAAGCCUGACGCAGCCAUGCCGCGUGUGUGAAGAAGGCCUUCGGGUUGUAAAGCACUUUCAAUUGGGAAGAAAAGCUCAACGUUAAUAGCGUUGAGCCCUGACAUUACCUUUAGAAGAAGCACCGGCUAACUCCGUG
rnacentral:rRNA from 1 species